CUUUGGUACAGAUGUUCAUUCUAAAAAAAGCUCUUCAUAUAAACCUGUUAUAAGCUCCAUUUCAAUGGAAAAAGCAAAACCAAUUCCAUUCAUUGUGCUUUACUACACAUUCGCUGAAAAAUCCAAAAUCCAUAGAAGUGAAGAAAGUUUAGGAUUUCAUAUUUAAUGUUAAAUGUUUGGUGGAUAAUAAAAACAUAUAAUAAUAAAAUUAAGCACAAAGCAAAGUUUAAGUGGAACACUAUCGAACGAAACUCAACUGUAAAACAAUGACCGUAUCAGACCAGCAUGACUUGAAAUGUCCCACAUAACUACUAUUUCCAUACUAAAAGAAUUAUACAAAUUAUUGGGUGCACAAAACCAAAAAGUAAUCGAAAAAGAUCAACGCAUUGUAUAAUGAAUGUUGCGGUAGCCAACUUGAAUUGACAUUAAAUGGGUAAAGUGUGCAAGAAUCGUACAAACGUAGAACAAAAUCAACAGUACCAACGACAACAUCAUCAGCUGCAGAGGCAUAAACAUAAAUGUGCAAUUAGUUGAAUUACACACACACGCACACAUAAAAAAAA